rnacentral:rRNA from 1 species
AUAUUGCACAAUGGGCGAAAGCCUGAUGCAGCGACGCCGCGUGAGGGAUGACGGCCUUCGGGUUGUAAACCUCUUUCGACAGGGACGAAGCGCAAGUGACGGUACCUGUAGAAGAAGCACCGGCCAACUACGUGCCAGCAGCCGCGGUAAUACGUAGGGUGCGAGCGUUGUCCGGAAUUACUGGGCGUAAAGAGCUUGUAGGCGGCUUGUCGCGUCGAUCGUGAAAACUUGGGGCUCAACCCCAAGCUUGCGGUCGAUACGGGCAGGCUUGAGUACUUCAGGGGAGACUGGAAUUCCUGGUGUAGCGGUGAAAUGCGCAGAUAUCAGGAGGAACACCGGUGGCGAAGGCGGGUCUCUGGGAAGUAACUGACGCUGAGAAGCGAAAGCGUGGGUAGCGAACAGGAUUAGAUACCCUGGUAGUCCACGCCGUAAACGGUGGGUACUAGGUGUGGGUUUCCUUCCACGGGAUCCGUGCCGUAGCUAACGCAUUAAGUACCCCGCCUGGGGAGUACGGCCGCAAGGCUAAAACUCAAAGGAAUUGACGGGGGCCCGCACAAGCGGCGGAGCAUGUGGAUUAAUUCGAUGCAACGCGAAGAACCUUACCUGGGUUUGACAUACACCGGAAACCUGCAGAGAUGUAGGCCCCCUUGUGGUCGGUGUACAGGUGGUGCAUGGCUGUCGUCAGCUCGUGUCGUGAGAUGUUGGGUUAAGUCCCGCAACGAGCGCAACCCUUAUCUUAUGUUGCCAGCGCGUAAUGGCGGGGACUCGUGAGAGACUGCCGGGGUCAACUCGGAGGAAGGUGGGGACGACGUCAAGUCAUCAUGCCCCUUAUGUCCAGGGCUUCACACAUGCUACAAUGGCCGGUACAGAGGGCUGCGAUACCGUGAGGUGGAGCGAAUCCCUUAAAGCCGGUCUCAGUUCGGAUCGGGGUCUGCAACUCGACCCCGUGAAGUUGGAGUCGCUAGUAAUCGCAGAUCAGCAACGCUGCGGUGAAUACGUUCCCGGGCCUUGUACACACCGCCCGUCACGUCAUGAAAGUCGGUAACACCCGAAGCCGGU